UGUGGAAGAUUUCAAUGCCCUUAGGAGGUUCGUAAUGUAACAGAGAGCAAUCCCGUCACAGCUCUGUCAGUGUGGUGUACUACAGACAUGUUCUUCAGCAUCUCUCUCCUUGUACUUUCUGUCCUCCAUCUGUGCGGGACAAUGGAGAGUGGUAUAAUUGGAAGAAUGGAAGUGAUCCCACACUCCCAACCCUAUAUGAUGUCUGUUCAGAUUAACAAAAUGCAUGUGUGUGGUGGCAUGCUUAUAAAAAAAAAAUUAUGUGCUGACUACGGCCCACUGUGCAAAUCACACUGAAUGCUCUGGAAAGGUCAAACUGGAAGUGGUACUGGGAGCUCACAACAUCAGUCAAAAGGAGCCCCAACAGCAUAGAAUCACAGCGCAGAAAUGAAUCAAGUAUGACUUUUCUGAAGUCCAAAGCCAAUCUGAAAGACAGUGUGCAAGUCAUUGAACGUCCUAAGAAGAAUGAGAACCUUCCAGUCAAUAUGAUAUGUUCAAUAGCUGGCUGGGGCAGGAAAGAACAGAACAGAACAUCAAAAGUCCUACGAGAGAUUAAUCUCACCAUACAAGAUAACUCUGAGAGCAAGAAGCAUUGGAAAGAUGACUUUGACACAGACAGCAUGAUCUGUACUACUGAUGGAAGAGGUGCUUUUUGUAAGGGAGUCCUCUUAUCUGUGGAAAUAAACCACAGGGAUUAGCUGCAUAUACUGAACGUGACCACUCUUCACGGCUCAAGUAUCCAGAGGUAUAUAUGAAGCUCUCCCACUUUCUUGAAUAGAUAAAUAAAAAAAUAAAGUAAUAAUAGAGAAAGAAAGAACACAAUUGAAGUAACCAUAAUCAAUAAAUGGAAGUAAAAACAAUCACAAUAAAAUGUACAUUGCAAACAUGAAAUGUGUUUUCUCAU